GAUGAACGCUGGCGGCGUGCCUAAUACAUGCAAGUCGAGCGAACAGACAAGGAGCUUGCUCCUUUGACGUUAGCGGCGGACGGGUGAGUAACACGUGGGUAACCUACCUAUAAGACUGGGAUAACUUCGGGAAACCGGAGCUAAUACCGGACAAUAUUUCGAACCGCAUGGUUCGAUAGUGAAAGAUGGUUUUGCUAUCACUUAUAGAUGGACCCGCGCCGUAUUAGCUAGUUGGUAAGGUAACGGCUUACCAAGGCGACGAUACGUAGCCGACCUGAGAGGGUGAUCGGCCACACUGGAACUGAGACACGGUCCAGACUCCUACGGGAGGCAGCAGUAGGGAAUCUUCCGCAAUGGGCGAAAGCCUGACGGAGCAACGCCGCGUGAGUGAUGAAGGUCUUCGGAUCGUAAAACUCUGUUAUUAGGGAAGAACAUACGUGUAAGUAACUAUGCACGUCUUGACGGUACCUAAUCAGAAAGCCACGGCUAACUACGUGCCAGCAGCCGCGGUAAUACGUAGGUGGCAAGCGUUAUCCGGAAUUAUUGGGCGUAAAGCGCGCGUAGGCGGUUUUUUAAGUCUGAUGUGAAAGCCCACGGCUCAACCGUGGAGGGUCAUUGGAAACUGUAAAACUUGAGUGCAGAAGAGGAAAGUGGAAUUCCAUGUGUAGCGGUGAAAUGCGCAGAGAUAUGGAGGAACACCAGUGGCGAAGGCGACUUUCUGGUCUGUAACUGACGCUGAUGUGCGAAAGCGUGGGGAUCAAACAGGAUUAGAUACCCUGGUAGUCCACGCCGUAAACGAUGAGUGCUAAGUGUUAGGGGGUUUCCGCCCCUUAGUGCUGCAGCUAACGCAUUAAGCACUCCGCCUGGGGAGUACGACCGCAAGGUUGAAACUCAAAGGAAUUGACGGGGACCCGCACAAGCGGUGGAGCAUGUGGUUUAAUUCGAAGCAACGCGAAGGACCUUACCAAAUCUUGACAUCCUUUGACAACUCUAGAGAUAGAGCCUUCCCCUUCGGGGGACAAAGUGACAGGUGGUGCAUGGUUGUCGUCAGCUCGUGUCGUGAGAUGUUGGGUUAAGUCCCGCAACGAGCGCAACCCUUAAGCUUAGUUGCCAUCAUUAAGUUGGGCACUCUAAGUUGACUGCCGGUGACAAACCGGAGGAAGGUGGGGAUGACGUCAAAUCAUCAUGCCCCUUAUGAUUUGGGCUACACACGUGCUACAAUGGACAAUACAAAGGGCAGCGAAACCGCGAGGUCAAGCAAAUCCCAUAAAGUUGUUCUCAGUUCGGAUUGUAGUCUGCAACUCGACUACAUGAAGCUGGAAUCGCUAGUAAUCGUAGAUCAGCAUGCUACGGUGAAUACGUUCCCGGGUCU
rnacentral:rRNA from 1 species